rnacentral:tRNA from 1 species
UAGCUCAGCUGGAUAGAGCACCAGACUACGAAUCUGGGGGUCAGGAGUUCGAAUCUCUU